UCGGCAGCCAUGAGCUCUCAGGAGCAAAUGGGUCCCGGCCAGGGCAGGUCUGGCUUGGCACUUAAGGCUGCGGUUUGGGGAUGUGAUACGUCAGAACAUUCAUCAGUUUUGCUGCUUUCUUCCUUUUUCCCGUUAGGAAGGAAAAUGUACGUGUGAUUUCCCAUUGCAGAAGUGCAACCCUAGCGCUGAGUGGUUGAGAAACCGCAGCACGGGAUCCUUGCUAGGCCUGGCCCCUGGGGGGGGGGGGGUUCCCGGCUGGGCUUCAGUACACUGCCUGGGUCUGCAGCCUGUCCCCAGCACCCCGGGAGCUGUGUCCAGGGCACCCUUCACUGGUGCUGCUACUCUUCUCUGCUGCCAACCGCGGGGGUGUGUGGGUGUGUGGGGUGAGGGCCUCCCAGGCUUGUUAGAAAGGAGAGGCUUUUUGAACAGAGAGCCAAUGAGGGGAGCCCCCACUUAAGUGGGAGAGUGUGAGGAGAGCGUUACAGAUGGGCCGGCGGUGGCCAAGAGGGCUGUGGGUGACAGAGCAGUCCACUCAAUAUCUCGGGAAGGGCAGGGCCUCAGCGGAUGGGGGUGAGGGCUGCUCAUGGUGGGCGGCCUGUCCCACAGGACAGCAGAAAGUCCAUCUUCUAUGCUCACCCCUCCUGGGCUCUGCUGGCCUUCCAGAGCAGCAUGGAAGAGACUGAGAUAGAUGCUUGCCCAGCACUGUGAGCCCCGGCCAUGCUGGAAGUGACCCAGUGUCCACUGGUGUAUUCAUACUGCCUUCACUGUACCCCCCAAGCUGGCAAGAGACAGGUGCCCAUGGUAUACAGGGGGUAACGGGGGCCCUAAGAGAGGCAGUGCCUGGCCCAAGGCCCCAGAAUGCGUCAGCAUAUAAUCCUUCCUCUUUUUCCCAUCAAACCUGGGCUAUCCUGGGGAUUCUUGGGGGGUAUCUAGGUGGGUAGUACAGCCCGCUGGUCUCCCAAUCUGUCUCACUGUCCCCAACCCACAGCUUACUCUCCCUCCGAGAAUGACCCUUGUAGCCCCUGAGAUCUCAGCAGGCCACACUGUGGGGGCCAAGCCCCUCUGGGCACUAUUCAGUGCUUCGUCUGCUUUAUCUCUUCUGAGCAUUUAGACUCUACUUGGUUGCUUAGUAACUAAGAAGGAAAAUAGGAAAAUCUCGAAACGGUCAUCCGUCCCCAUGUGUCCCAGCCAGUGUGACACAAGCACGAGGGCUCCCCCAGGAAACCAGGUCCUCCGGAGAUGGGAACUGUAUCUGCCCCUGGGGGGGACCAACUGUUAACUCCAGGCUGCCUCCCUGGAGGCAUCUUCUUCACUAGCUGUCUAAGCUCCAGCAUGCACAGAGCUGGGCCAGGUGUGUGUGGGGGAUGCCUGUCCCCAUGGGGAUCCGCACAGAAUAUCAGCAUUCCUGUCAGGAACCCAGGGCGGUGGGCAACAGGCAGAAUCCGGGCAGGGGCUUUGCUACCUCUUGCUCUGUGACCUUGGGCAAGUCCUAUCCCCUCUCUGGGUCUUAGUUUUCCUUCCUUGGGGAUGGGACACCGCCUUCCCGUUGUACCCUGCGACCAUGUCUCAGAGAAGGGCUCUGUCCACACUUCCAGCCCUGGCAUGGGACAGUAGGUGGGCAGAAGAGAUGUGUUCAUGGCCCCCUGUGCCCUCAGGACCUUGGUUCAGAGCAUUCCCUAGCAAGAGAACUGAAACAGCCAGGGAAUCCAUCAGUACGAGGAAGUCUUGCCUGGGCUGUGUCUUCUGAAGGAGAACAGGAAGUCCUGUUCGUCACUGGCUGGCAGUCUCCUGAGGGGACAGCGAGAGUAGGGGGAGAGCAAGUGCUGGCUUCUCUCUACUUGGCCCCCUUGGCCAGGAUGGCCUUCUCUAGUUGGUGUCGGGACCCCGAGGAGUGUACCUCAGUGAGCAAAUGUCUCUGUCGUGUGCUCCCGGGAAAACUCAGGGACAGAACAACAGUUUCCAGGGCUUUCUACAGUGGCGGGCAGGCGAGAGUUCUGGGGUCACACAGGCUCUGGUGUGAGGCUUGGUUCCUUCUUAUAGCAGGUGUGUGUGUGACCCCAGACAAGUUACCUGGCCUCUCUGAACCUGAUUUCUGCUCUGUGAAAUAAGGACAGUUUGUUGUGUGAGGGCUAAAUGAGAUAGGCGCCAAGUGUCCAAGACAUGGUUCAAAGCUGAUACGUGAGGGCUGCUCGUGGUAGAAGCCUUAACAGCAGAAGACCGCGAAGAUGCACCUUGUGAGAGACGCUGGAGGAGCAGACUAACAGCCUGCACAAACCCCAAAUUCUCAGAAGGCCAGGUUUUGCUUUAAAAUUUCUUUUUUGAUGUUUAUUUAUUUUUGAGACCGAGAGAGACAGAGCAUGAAUGGGGGAGGGUCAGAGAGAGGGAGACACAGAAUCCGAAACAGGCUCCAGGCUCCGAGCUGCCAGCACAGAGCCCGACGCGGGGCUCGAACUCACAGACUGUGAGAUCGUGACCUGAGUCGAAGUCAGACGCUUGACCGACUGAGCCACCCAGGUGCCCCGACCCAGGUUUUGCUUUAAAGGAACAUAAUUUUGGAGUGCAAUACCUAAUUUGCACGCAUUUAACAUAAAUUCCAUUUUCAACGAUAAUGAAAUUAAAAGGGCGUGCUCCAGGAAGACUCUCCAGGUUAUGGCCUGGGGCAUGUGGCCCUAACACAGGAGGACAAGGUUACGUAUUUGACAGAUGAGGCAGCUGAGGCCCACAGCAAUUAGUCAACUAGCCCCAGGGUCUCGUAUCUGAGAAGCUGCAGAACCAGGACUGGGACCCAUUCCAUGGCACUCUUGGGCCUGAUCGUGAAGCUGCUGGGCCUCGAAGGUGGUAUUCUCUGGAGUCCAGCUGUCCUGCCUUCUGCAAACGUGCUCCUGCGGCCUGGCUGGCAGUGCGCUCUGGAGAGAGGGGCCGGCUUCCGGCAGCCGGCCAAACUGUGCGGAGGCCACUCUACUGAUGUCCCGGUGGCCUGUGGCCACCAGGUGGCAGCACCCACAAACCUAGUGGCCUGCUCUCCCAGGGGGAAGGAGAGGAUGGGCAAAGCAUGGGUGAGUCAUUCACCAGAGGACCUCAAAACUCAUUGUGCGUGCGUGAAGAUAAAGCAGGAAGCCAGCGCAGGAGGCCCCGUGGAGCAGUGGUCACAAGCACGGGUGCUGGGCCAGACAGGCUCAGAAGGGCCCCCGCCUGCACGUGGAAUAGUUAUCAUGAGCUGGAGGAGGACCCAAGUUUCCUGGGGAAAGCCGCUAAAUCGUGGAGGUUUCUGAUGCCAAGAAAAAUAGGCUUGGCCCAGCUCUGAGGCCGUGAACCUCAGAUGCCACCUCAAGAGGCUGCCAUCACCGUGGGCAGUGCCAUCUGGCUUCAUUUUGUCAAAACAAAGGCAAGGCCCUCCAGCAAUUUCUGUGGAUUUGUUUUGCAAAAUUAAAUUGUCUGCUUUUAA